GGGCCCAUAGAGGAUAACUAAAAUUUUUCCUUUUAUGGUUUUUCUCACCAUUUAGAUUCUUUAAACAGAAAGGCUGUGGUCGAUGGUUGGGAUAUGUAUGUUGUAAAUCUUAAAUAUUCUGACAGUGGCUGGGAAAAGUGACCAUCAGAUGAGGUUGACAAUUGUCAUUUAGCCACAGACCUGAUUGGCUGUUUCUCUCAAUUGUGCAACUCUCCGUGGCCUGCGGACCUGAUAGCAGAUUUUGAUGUAUGGAGGUAAAUCCCGAAAGGCAUAUUUCAGAUGAAGCCAAGGCUAGUGGUAACUGCUCAUAGAGUGUGGGAGCCACAACUUAACAUGACCAGUGUUUGAACAAGGUGGAAGAAAUAGAACCAUUUUGGUCCCUGGAGAGGCUGAAUUCACUGAGGUCCGAUUUACUGUGAGAUCACUUCUUCAUUAGUAAACAUGCAAUUAGUGACAACUCAUACCUACCUAGAACACACCACUUGUGAUCUUCCAAGACAGGGAGUACUUUGGGUCUCUGAUUCCACUCAAUCUUCACAAUCCCUGACAUUCUGUGGCCUGUAAAGGAGAGCGAGGAGCUGAAGCUCUGAACUUUGGUGCUUGUGUUCCAAAGAAAAAAUUGAAAGUUAGCAAAAGUCAUGCAAGAGAACUUUAUCGUAAGUGAAGAUUAUCUGCUACAAGUUAUUUGUUCAUCUGUCUUGGCAGAAACUUAAAGAAAACUGUAAGAAUAACUUAAAGGAAACCUGUGACCUCGCCAUUGCAUUUCCCUGCUCAUUACCACUACCUAUCAUUUCAUCUGGAACUGCCUUGCUUAAGUCCCUGCCUUCGAAAUUCUAGUUUGCAGGCUACAACUGUGCACCCAUCCCCUAGGCCCACUUGCACUACAAAAUUUACUUUUCCCUUCUGGUCCCUGGAAGAGAGAUCUUUGUUGGGUUCUGAAACCAAGGAAAACCUAAAUCAACCCUCUAGCUUCACUUGCUUUUAGUUACAUGUUUUUAGUUGCCUUUAAAGAUGGAAAAUUUCGAGGGGAAGGCUGAGUCUCCAGUUGAUCCACGGCUCAGGAUCCAAACAGUGUGAAUACUGCUUCUUAGUGAGGCUGAUGAAAAAGAGUUCCCUGGAACUCAAUAGCAGACAGAGACCCUUAGAGAUUCAGAAAUGAUGGCUCAUUGAAACAAGAACAAGAAAGAGUACACCGGAGCCAAGCCCGAGGCACAGCAACAGUGGUACUGGUUCACUGUGGAGGGGAGGAAUAAUAAAACCAGAGAAAAACACAAUGGAAAUUUGGCAUGAAAAAAUCUGAAGAUCCAAAAAUCAGCCUGAACUCAGUUGAUCCAGAGGCUGCGUAGUGAACUGGUGAUUGAAUAGUGUUGUGUUUCUCAUUGGCAAACGGAGAGCUGGGCAGGAGCCACCUUGAGGAAGCCAUGCUAUGGCUUGGGUCUAAUCAGCCCGCAGGGACUUUGUUGGAUGUUAUUUGCUCCAGAGAGAUAGAUCCAUCCACUCCAGGAGUAUGGCCAGAUGGAUGAUGAUCUCUGCUAGGAGUCUGGAUCUCGGGAGCCUCUUAAGACUUCGAUUCAUGGGACAUUGGAACCAACCCUCCACAGGCCUCACACACUCUGCUGCCCAUGAAUACAGCCUUCCAAAGCUUAGUCCCCAAGUGUAUUCUCUCCUGCCUAUUCAGCUUCUUGACCCUCUUCAGUUGGUCAUGUGAGCCUCCAAACUCAAAGGGAAAGCAAACUGGAUUCCCCCUUCAUUUUUCCAGACUUGAAUCCUCCUGGAUAGAAUCUUCUCUGAGCCUGUUUCAUUCAUAUCCGGCUAGGCACACCCUAGGCCACACAGUAGGCGUUUGCUGGGACAGUAGGACAAUAUUUGUUAUGAUUUCUCAGAGCACAAACUCUAAAAGCUAGAGGACUGGGAUGAUGUGUUCCAAGCCCUGAAAUAAACAUAGAUAUCAACAAAGUUUGCUAUAUCCAGCAAAGCUUUCCUUCAGAAUUGAAGAAGAAAUAAAAAUCUUCCAAGAUAAGCAGAAGGUAAAAGAAUUCAUGACUACUCGGCCGGCACUAGAGAACAUUCUUAAAGAAAUACUUCACACAGAAGAAAUAAAAAACAAACCACCAAGUUCAUAAAUGGAUAAUUCUCAUUUGAAGAGUAGCUAAGCCAAUGAGAAACAGGACCAAAUUAAACAUGAUAAAUCAAUCGCAAUUGUGAGAGGUGGCCACUCUGAAUGAUUUGCAUCAUCCUUCCCUGAGUGGAGAAGCUUUGAUGGUCACUACAUCUCGGAGUGACCUGGAUAUUGCCCCAGUCCUAGAAGUUUGAGGACGUGUCUUCAGAUGUAGGCGUGUUGUCUCUGGAUCGAGCUACGCUCACCAGUUCCUUUGUGAUAUUACCCCUUUGCCCUGUUUGGGAUAGAAUGUUCCAUGGAAAUGUCCUUUGUGUGUCCCUUUCUCUUGCUCUGCCUUUGGGUGUGGCCUUCCUAGAUGUCAGUCAA